rnacentral:rRNA from 1 species
UACGGGGGGAACAAGCGUUGUUCGGAUUUACUGGGCGUAAAGGGCGGGUAGGCGGCCACCGCAAGUCGACUGUGAAAUCUCCGGGCUUAACCCGGAAAGGUCAGCCGAUACUGCGGGGCUAGAGUGCAGAAGGGGCAACUGGAAUUCUCGGUGUAGCGGUGAAAUGCGUAGAUAUCGAGAGGAACACCUGCGGCGAAGGCGGGUUGCUGGGCUGACACUGACGCUGAACUGCGAAAGCUAGGGGAGCGAACGGG